GGCCAUUCGCGGCGUGCUAUACAUGCAGUCGAGCGGACCGACGGGAGCUUGCUCCCUUAGGUCAGCGGCGGACGGGUGAGUAACACGUGGGUAACCUGCCUGUAAGACUGGGAUAACUCCGGGAAACCGGGGCUAAUACCGGAUGCUUGAUUGAACCGCAUGGUUCAAUCAUAAAAGGUGGCUUUUAGCUACCACUUACAGAUGGACCCGCGGCGCAAUAGCUAGUUGGUGAGGUAACGGCUCACCAAGGCGACGAUGCGUAGCCCACCUGAGAGGGUGAUCGGCCACACUGGGACUGAGACACGGCCCAGACUCCUACGGGAGGCAGCAGUAGGGAAUCUUCCGCAAUGGACGAAAGUCUGACGGAGCAACGCCGCGUGAGUGAUGAAGGUUUUCGGAUCGUAAAACUCUGUUGUUAGGGAAGAACAAGUACCGUUCGAAUAGGGCGGCACCUUGACGGUACCUAACCAGAAAGCCACGGCUAACUACGUGCCAGCAGCCGCGGUAAUACGUAGGUGGCAAGCGUUGUCCGGAAUUAUUGGGCGUAAAGCGCGCGCAGGCGGUUUCUUAAGUCUGAUGUGAAAGCCCCCGGCUCAACCGGGGAGGGUCAUUGGAAACUGGGGGAACUUGAGUGCAGAAGAGGAGAGUGGAAUUCCACGUGUAGCGGUGAAAUGCGUAGAGAUGUGGAGGAACACCAGUGGCGAAGGCGACUCUCUGGUCUGUAACUGACGCUGAGGCGCGAAAGCGUGGGGAGCGAACAGGAUUAGAUACCCUGGUAGUCCACGCCGUAAACGAUGARUGCUAAGUGUUAGAGGGUUUCCSCCCUUUAGUGCUGCAGCAAACGCAUUAAGCACUCCGCCUGGGGGAGUACGGUCGCAAGACUGAAACUCAAAGGAAUUGACGGGGGGCCCGCCACAAGCGGGGGAGCAUGUGGGUUUAAUUCGAAGCAACGCCGAAGAACCUUACCAGGUCUUGACAUCCUUCUGACAACCCCUAGAARAUAGGGCUUCCCCUUCGGGGGGCAGAGUGACAGGUGGUGCAUGGUUGUCGUCAGCUCGUGUCGUGAGAUGUUGGGUUAAGUCCCGCAACGAGCGCAACCCUUGAUCUUAGUUGCCAGCAUUCAGUUGGGCACUCUAAGGUGACUGCCGGUGACAAACCGGAGGAAGGUGGGGAUGACGUCAAAUCAUCAUGCCCCUUAUGACCUGGGCUACACACGUGCUACAAUGGGCAGAACAAAGGGCAGCGAAGCCGCGAGGCUAAGCCAAUCCCACAAAUCUGUUCUCAGUUCGGAUCGCAGUCUGCAACUCGACUGCGUGAAGCUGGAAUCGCUAGUAAUCGCGGAUCAGCAUGCCGCGGUGAAUACGUUCCCGGGCCUUGUACACACCGCCCGUCACACCACGAGAGUUUGUAACACCCGAAGUCGGUGAGGUAACCUUUGGAGCCAGCCGCCGAAGUGACAGAAAAUGU
rnacentral:rRNA from 1 species